rnacentral:rRNA from 1 species
CCUACGGGAGGCAGCAGUGAGGAAUAUUGGUCAAUGGACGAGAGUCUGAACCAGCCAAGUAGCGUGAAGGAUGACUGCCCUAUGGGUUGUAAACUUCUUUUAUAUGGGAAUAAAACGUUCCACGUGUGGGAUUUUGUAUGUACCAUAUGAAUAAGGAUCGGCUAACUCCGUGCCAGCAGCCGCGGUAAUAUGGAGGAUCCGAGCGUUAUCCGGAUUUAUUGGGUUUAAAGGGAGCGUAGGUGGAUUGUUAAGUCAGUUGUGAAAGUUUGCGGCUCAACCGUAAAAUUGCAGUUGAAACUGGCAGUCUUGAGUACAGUAGAGGUGGGCGGAAUUCGUGGUGUAGCGGUGAAAUGCUUAGAUAUCACGAAGAACUCCGAUUGCGAAGGCAGUUCACUGGACUGCAACUGACACUGAGGCUCGAAAGUGUGGGUAUCAAACAGGAUUAGAUACCCGAGUAGUC